rnacentral:rRNA from 1 species
GCUAUGUCGGUGGGAGAUGACGGGGUAAGACGAGUGGUGUAACGUGUAUCCGGGUUUAGUUGGUGUAGAGGGUGCGUAGGGGGACUAAGAAGCCAGUGGUGAAAUUUCCGGGCUUAACCCGGAAACUGCCAUUGAUAUUGUAAGUCUUGAGUACAGAUGAUGUUGGCGGAAUAUGACAUGUAGCGGUGAAAUGCAUAGAUAUGUCAUAGAACACCGAUUGCGAAGGCAGCUGACAAAACUGUAACUGACGCUGAGGCACGAAAGUGCGGGGAUCAAACAGGAUUAGAUACCCUAGUAGUC